rnacentral:rRNA from 1 species
AUUGAACGCUGGCGGCACGCCUAACACAUGCAAGUCGAGCGGCAGCAUGCUUAGUAGCAAUACUAAGUGAUGGCGAGCGGCGGACGGGUGAGGAACACGUAGGAACCUGCCUAAGAGAGGGGGAUAACUAAGGGAAACUUUAGCUAAUACCGCAUAAUCUCUGAGGAGAAAAGUUGCCCGCAAGGGUAGCGCUUUUGGAGGGGCCUGCGUCCGAUUAGUUAGUUGGUGAGGUAAUGGCUCACCAAGACGAUGAUCGGUAACUGGUCUGAGAGGACGACCAGUCACACUGGGACUGAGACACGGCCCAGACUCCUACGGGAGGCAGCAGUGGGGAAUCUUGGACAAUGGGGGCAACCCUGAUCCAGCGAUGCCGCGUGGGUGAAGAAGGCCUUCGGGUUGUAAAGCCCUUUAGGCUGGGAAGAAGAGUGCGGGGUGAAUAAUCCUGUACUUUGACGGUACCAGCAGAAUAAGCACCGGCAAACUCUGUGCCAGCAGCCGCGGUAAGAC